CUGUCCUAUGGGCUGACGCUUUCCAGAUUGGGACGGUGGCCUUUCGGUUCGGUUGCUUGUGGUGCAUUUGCAGGUGGAGUGCGCUGAGGUGCUCGGGGCAGCUGCGCGAACUCGGCUUUGAGGCCAAGCUCUUCGGAGAUUGGAACCCAGGUCGUGGGAGUGCUGUUUGUUCUGAGUUCUGUGCGGCAAUGGGUGACGGGCUCGUGUGGGUGUCGAGCUGUCAGUUGGAGGCGGUCGCUUGCGACACGUGCCUGCGGGCAGUUCGGUCCUGCUCGGGCUCACACAUUUGCUCGUCCUCGGUGUAAAAGCCGGUUAUCUGUCCGACCCGUCUUGAAACACGGACCAAGGAGUUUAGCGUGUGCGCGAGUCAUUGGGCGUUGAAACCCAGAGGCGCAAUGAAAGUGAAUGUCUCCCUUGUGGAGCUGAUGUGUGACCCUGGUCACUGCGGUGGCCGGGCGCAACAUGGUCCCGUUCCGACCGCAUGCGGUGGGGCGGAGACAGAGCGUGCGCGCUGAGACCCGAAAGAUGGUGAACUAUUCCUGAGCAGGAUAAAGCCAGAGGAAACUCUGGUGGAAGUCCGAAGCGAUUCUGACGUGCAAAUCGAUCGUCUGACUUGGGUAUAGGGGCGAAAGACUAAUCGAACCAUCUAGUAGCUGGUUCCUUCCGAA
rnacentral:rRNA from 1 species